rnacentral:rRNA from 1 species
AGUGAACGCUGGCGGUAGGCCUAACACAUGCAAGUCGAACGGCAGCACAGUAAGAGCUUGCUCUUACGGGUGGCGAGUGGCGGACGGGUGAGGAAUACAUCGGAAUCUACUUUUUCGUGGGGGAUAACGUAGGGAAACUUACGCUAAUACCGCAUACGACCUACGGGUGAAAGCAGGGGAUCUUCGGACCUUGCGCGAGUGAAUGCGCCGAUGUCGGAUUAGCUAGUUGGCGGGGUAAAGGCCCACCAAGGCGACGAUCCGUAGCUGGUCUGAGAGGAUGAUCAGCCACACUGGAACUGAGACACGGUCCAGACUCCUACGGGAGGCAGCAGUGGGGAAUAUUGGACAAUGGGCGCAAACCUGAUCCAGCCAUACCGCGUGGGUGAAGAAGGCCUUCGGGUUGUAAAGCCCUUUUGUUGGGAAAGAAAAGCAGCAGGUUAAUACCCCGCUGUUCUGACGGUACCCAAAGAAUAAGCACCGGCUAACUUCGUG